rnacentral:rRNA from 1 species
UACGUAGGGGGCGAGCGUUGUCCGGAAUUAUUGGGCGUAAAGAGCUCGUAGGCGGUCUGUCGCGUCGGCUGUGAAAACUCGGGGCUCAACCCCGAGCCUGCAGUCGAUACGGGCAGGCUAGAGUGUGGUAGGGGGAGAUCGGAAUUCCUGGUGUAGCGGUGGAAAUGCGCAGAUAUCAGGAGGAACACCGGUGGCGAAGGCGGGUCUCUGGGCAGUAACUGACGCUGAGGAGCGAAAGCGUGGAG